rnacentral:rRNA from 1 species
GAGUUUGAUCAUGGCUCAGGACGAACGCUCGGCGGCGUGCCUAAUACAUGCAAGUAGAACGCUGAAGAGAGGAGCUUGCUCUUCUUGGAUGAGUUGCGAACGGGUGAGUAACGCGUAGGUAACCUGCCUUGUAGCGGGGGAUAACUAUUGGAAACGAUAGCUAAUACCGCAUAACAAUGGAUGACACAUGUCAUUUAUUUGAAAGGGGCAAUUGCUCCACUACAAGAUGGACCUGCGUUGUAUUAGCUAGUAGGUGAGGUAACGGCUCACCUAGGCGACGAUACAUAGCCGACCUGAGAGGGUGAUCGGCCACACUGGGACUGAGACACGGCCCAGACUCCUACGGGAGGCAGCAGUAGGGAAUCUUCGGCAAUGGGGGCAACCCUGACCGAGCAACGCCGCGUGAGUGAAGAAGGUUUUCGGAUCGUAAAGCUCUGUUGUAAGUCAAGAACGAGUGUGAGAGUGGAAAGUUCACACUGUGACGGUAGCUUACCAGAAAGGGACGGCUAACUACGUGCCAGCAGCCGCGGUAAUACGUAGGUCCCGAGCGUUGUCCGGAUUUAUUGGGCGUAAAGCGAGCGCAGGCGGUUUGAUAAGUCUGAAGUUAAAGGCUGUGGCUCAACCAUAGUUCGCUUUGGAAACUGUCAAACUUGAGUGCAGAAGGGGAGAGUGGAAUUCCAUGUGUAGCGGUGAAAUGCGUAGAUAUAUGGAGGAACACCGGUGGCGAAAGCGGCUCUCUGGUCUGUAACUGACGCUGAGGCUCGAAAGCGUGGGGAGCGAACAGGAUUAGAUACCCUGGUAGUCCACGCCGUAAACGAUGAGUGCUAGGUGUUGGAUCCUUUCCGGGAUUCAGUGCCGCAGCUAACGCAUUAAGCACUCCGCCUGGGGAGUACGACCGCAAGGUUGAAACUCAAAGGAAUUGACGGGGGCCCGCACAAGCGGUGGAGCAUGUGGUUUAAUUCGAAGCAACGCGAAGAACCUUACCAGGUCUUGACAUCCCGAUGCUAUUUCUAGAGAUAGAAAGUUACUUCGGUACAUCGGUGACAGGUGGUGCAUGGUUGUCGUCAGCUCGUGUCGUGAGAUGUUGGGUUAAGUCCCGCAACGAGCGCAACCCCUAUUGUUAGUUGCCAUCAUUCAGUUGGGCACUCUAGCGAGACUGCCGGUAAUAAACCGGAGGAAGGUGGGGAUGACGUCAAAUCAUCAUGCCCCUUAUGACCUGGGCUACACACGUGCUACAAUGGUUGGUACAACGAGUUGCGAGUCGGUGACGGCAAGCUAAUCUCUUAAAGCCAAUCUCAGUUCGGAUUGUAGGCUGCAACUCGCCUACAUGAAGUCGGAAUCGCUAGUAAUCGCGGAUCAGCACGCCGCGGUGAAUACGUUCCCGGGCCUUGUACACACCGCCCGUCAA